UGGGGAAUAUUGGACAAUGGGCGAAAGCCUGACCCAGCAACGCCGCGUGAAGGAUGAAGUAUUUCGGUAUGUAAACUUCGAAAGAAUAGGAAGAAUAAAUGACGGUACUAUUUAUAAGGUCCGGCUAACUACGUGCCAGCAGCCGCGGUAAUACGUAGGGACCAAGCGUUGUUCGGAUUUACUGGGCGUAAAGGGCGCGUAGGCGGCAAUUCAAGUCAUCUGUGAAAUCUCCGGGCUUAACUCGGAACGGUCAGAUGAUACUGCUUUGCUAGAGUGCAGAAGGGGCAAUCGGAAUUCUUGGUGUAGCGGUGAAAUGCGUAGAUAUCAAGAGGAACACCUGAGGUGAAGACGGGUUGCUGGGCUGACACUGACGCUGAGGCGCGAAAGCCAGGGGAGCAAACGGGAUUAGAUACCCUUGUAGUCCCUGAGCGGGCUGGCAAGGCGCAU
rnacentral:rRNA from 1 species